rnacentral:rRNA from 2 species
UGGUGGCGAUAGCGAAGAGGUCACACCCGUUCCCAUGCCGAACACGGAAGUUAAGCUCUUCAGCGCCGAUGGUAGUUGGGGGAUUCCCCCUGUGAGAGUAGGACGCCGCCA